AGUCCGCUCCGUUACGUAAGCGGGGAGUGACGUUCUGGAAGGUUCGCGGCCGCUCUCAGUCCGCGCUCUGCUCGCGGUGGGGUCGGUUGUGUCCGCUCGUUGCUCCGGCGGUUCGGAUCGCGGCGCGUUGUCUGGGCCCGGCCGUUCGUUAUGGGUGUAACACACGAAGCCGGGUUGUCCCCUCGGGCGUCACCGUCGGAGCAGGAUCCGUGUGGGGGGGGAGCGGCUGCGUGCAGCGGGAGCGCCAUAGGGACCCAUGGGAGUCAACAACGGGGAUGUCCGGCGGCCCCCAGCGGAACAGAGACUGGAUACUGCAGAACAACAAGCAAAACAGAACUGGGCUCUGAAAGUACCUGCAAGGAAGAAGUAGUGGCUCGUAAGAGCAGUGAUAUGGCAAACUGCAUGGAUGAUUUGAGUCUGAAUUCACCAAAGAAAAGAGAGAAUUGUUUGAGAUCCAAAAGAAGCUGCAGCAGGUCAUCAUCAAGGUCAUCCAGUCGAUCUUCCUGCAGCUCCCAGUCCAGUUCGAGUACGUCAUCUUCAGCUUCCUCCAGGAGCUGGAGUCGGUCCAGAUCCAGGUCUAGGGAUCGAAGAUACAGUUCCCGAAGGUACAGAAGAUGCUCCCGUUCCUAUUCAAGAAGCCGCUCAAGAUCGCGUGGCUACAGGAGGUACAGAGGAAGGUACCACUCCAGGCACUACAGGAGGUACCACCGCUCUCCUCCGAGGUACAGAUCACGCAGUAGGUCGUGGUCCCGUGGAAGAUCAUAUUACAGAAGGUCCUAUUCAAGAAGCAGGUCACGUUCCAGAGGCCGAAGAAACUAUGGGUUUGGGCGGACAGUGUACCCUGAGACUUACAGGAGCUGGAGGAGCAGGUCACGAACCAGGUCUCGGAGUAGGUCACCUCUGCACUUGAGUGAGAAAGAAAAGAGGGAGCUUCUGGAAAUUGCAAAGGCUAAUGCUGCAAAAGCUCUGGGAACAGACAAUAUAGUCUUGCCUGCUAGCUUGAAGAUCCGCACUGCUUCUAAGGAGACCAGCAGUAUUAAGAAAGAACAUGAAGACUCUGGGGAGUCGGAUGAGAUGUUGAGAGAGUACAGAAGAAGAGGCCUGCAUCACUUGCAGAUAAGUUUAUUGUUGUUAUCCAAAGCUCUGCAGGAUUAACGUGCAGAACUUCAUGCGACUUAUUCUGACACUACAUUUCAUUGUAUGGCAUUCCAUGCUUUGAAUCAUUUGAAUACUCUUUAAAACUGUAAGUGGGGCAUGGAUAUCAGGUCAUAGCAGGUCCUUGAAUCGGCACAAGGACCUUGAUUAAAAAUACUGGUUUUCACAUUGAACUCAAUGCUGAUCUAUUGGCACAUUUGGUAGCUUCUGGCUACUUUUGUUGUAAAUAUCUGAAACAACUGUACUGGGAAGUUAUUAACUUGUAAAGGCUGCCUUAACCUACAGAGGGUGUUGUAUCCUCCCACUGAAGUGCUGUGUGCUUUUCUCUAGCAACCCAAAGGACUGACAGAAGUCAUAACCAAAAGUGGAAUGGAGAGAGCAACCGCACGGAGCAUCUCGUUCAGCCCUAAUAAUACAAUGGCAAAGCCAGUACAACAGAAGCCAGCGAGCCAUGUUGUUAAAGAACCAUCCAUUUCUCCAGGAAGAGAAGAUGACAAAAAGGGAAGUCCCUAUGGGCAGUGGGUUCCUGUCAAGAAGGAGGAGAAAAAGUUCCUAAACUUCUCACCCAAAUCCACACUGUUCCGAGCACGCUAGAAUAGCUCUGUUCCUCAGACUGAGUAUCGUAAUACCUGCGUAGUGAGGUGUGACCUUUUCUGAUCAGCUUGUUGAGUAUUUAUUUUGAUAUCUUUAAUUUUGGAAUCUUAGGUUUCUCUUUCAGAUGUAAAGCGCAGUGAUCCAGAAGCCACAGAUGGAAUCUUGUGUAUAUUUGUAAAUAUUUUUGUAUUGCUUUAAUGGACUAGAACUUAACAGGUGGGUAAUUUUUUCUAAAGACUAGUUCAGUAGCUGUUAAUUUUGAACAGUUAAACUACAUUGUGUAACAGUUUACUUCAAGAAAAUAAACUUCACUUUUGCACUGGCAUCCGUA